rnacentral:rRNA from 1 species
UACGGAGGGGGCUAGCGUUUGUUCGGAAUUACUGGGCGUAAAGCGCACGUAGGCGGCUUUGUAAGUUAGAGGUGAAAGCCCAGGGCUCAACCCUGGAAUUGCCUUUAAGACUGCAUCGCUAGAAUUGUGGAGAGGUAAGUGGAAUUCCGAGUGUAGAGGUGAAAUUCGUAGAUAUUCGGAAGAACACCAGUGGCGAAGGCGACUUACUGGACACAUAUUGACGCUGAGGUGGCGAAAGCGUGGGGAGCAAACAGG